AGAGUUUGAUCAUGGCUCAGAUUGAACGCUGGCGGCAGGCCUAACACAUGCAAGUCGAGCGGUAGCACAGAGAGCUUGCUCUCGGGUGACGAGCGGCGGACGGGUGAGUAAUGUCUGGGAAACUGCCUGAUGGAGGGGGAUAACUACUGGAAACGGUAGCUAAUACCGCAUAACGUCGCAAGACCAAAGUGGGGGACCUUCGGGCCUCAUGCCAUCAGAUGUGCCCAGAUGGGAUUAGCUGGUAGGUGGGGUAACGGCUCACCUAGGCGACGAUCCCUAGCUGGUCUGAGAGGAUGACCAGCCACACUGGAACUGAGACACGGUCCAGACUCCUACGGGAGGCAGCAGUGGGGAAUAUUGCACAAUGGGCGCAAGCCUGAUGCAGCCAUGCCGCGUGUGUGAAGAAGGCCUUCGGGUUGUAAAGCACUUUCAGCGGGGAGGAAGGCGGUGAGGUUANNNNNNNNNNCGAUUGACGUUACCCGCAGAAGAAGCACCGGCUAACUCCGUGCCAGCAGCCGCGGUAAUACGGAGGGUGCAAGCGUUAAUCGGAAUUACUGGGCGUAAAGCGCACGCAGGCGGUCUGUCAAGUCGGAUGUGAAAUCCCCGGGCUCAACCUGGGAACUGCAUUCGAAACUGGCAGGCUAGAGUCUUGUAGAGGGGGGUAGAAUUCCAGGUGUAGCGGUGAAAUGCGUAGAGAUCUGGAGGAAUACCGGUGGCGAAGGCGGCCCCCUGGACAAAGACUGACGCUCAGGUGCGAAAGCGUGGGGAGCAAACAGGAUUAGAUACCCUGGUAGUCCACGCUGUAAACGAUGUCGAUUUGGAGGUUGUGCCCUUGAGGCGUGGCUUCCGGAGCUAACGCGUUAAAUCGACCGCCUGGGGAGUACGGCCGCAAGGUUAAAACUCAAAUGAAUUGACGGGGGCCCGCACAAGCGGUGGAGCAUGUGGUUUAAUUCGAUGCAACGCGAAGAACCUUACCUGGUCUUGACAUCCACAGAACUUUCCAGAGAUGGAUUGGUGCCUUCGGGAACUGUGAGACAGGUGCUGCAUGGCUGUCGUCAGCUCGUGUUGUGAAAUGUUGGGUUAAGUCCCGCAACGAGCGCAACCCUUAUCCUUUGUUGCCAGCGGUUAGGCCGGGAACUCAAAGGAGACUGCCAGUGAUAAACUGGAGGAAGGUGGGGAUGACGUCAAGUCAUCAUGGCCCUUACGACCAGGGCUACACACGUGCUACAAUGGCAUAUACAAAGAGAAGCGACCUCGCGAGAGCAAGCGGACCUCAUAAAGUAUGUCGUAGUCCGGAUUGGAGUCUGCAACUCGACUCCAUGAAGUCGGAAUCGCUAGUAAUCGUAGAUCAGAAUGCUACGGUGAAUACGUUCCCGGGCCUUGUACACACCGCCCGUCACACCAUGGGAGUGGGUUGCAAAAGAAGUAGGUAGCUUAACCUUCGGGAGGGCGCUUACCACUUUGUGAUUCAUGACUGGGGUGAAGUCGUAACAAGGUAACCGUAGGGGAACCUGCGGUUGGAUCACCU
rnacentral:rRNA from 1 species